AUAUAUUACUUAUGCUUGCAUAAUUAAGUUUCUAAUCCGUUUUGUUUUAUUUUUCUUGCUGCUGACUAUAAGUUUAUGGUCAACGAAUGGCUUUUCUGAGGUAUACGUGACAUUGUUUACAACACUGAUUGAACUGACAUGAUAUAGAUUUUGGUAAGCUACUGCAACUUUCAACAUAUUCUUUGAUUUUCAUUCAUAUUUAUUUCCUUCUGUAAAAUAGCUAGUAAAGAGGAAGAGAUGAUCGCGUUCACUCACGAUCCCCAAAAAGUGUUCAAGAUGAAAACUGAGAAGUGACGCAGUCUUUAACUUCUUUUCAUGAUAUAAAUAAAUGCAUAGCUUAGGCCUAUUUGUUUAUCCUAUAAGUUUGUGAAUAAAUAUGAAAAUGCGAAGCUAUUAAAUGUCUUAACAUUAAAAUAUAAAAAUUAAUAUGACAGAACGAAAAAAAUGCUAUUAACAAUCGUGCAUUGCGCAAAAGUAUUAUAAUAUGAACGGCUCCCAUACAGAGCGGCACAAAGCGGUUAUGCGCAUCCCGUGUGCAGAAUGAUGCGCUUGAAGCAUCAUGGAGUCACGGCGCUCCGCAUUGAAAAGUUCAAAGCACAAAGAGAAGAUAUAUUGAUGGGUAUUGUAUUACCGUUAUCUUGAUGAAGUAUAAUAAUAGAAACAUUGAUUCAUCUUGGAGAGUGUUUCAUUGUGUUGACUGUCAUAACCGAACGCGACACGCAGUCUGAAUUCAUUAAUGCUGAAUGGAGAAUGACUGACUGCCGCAGCGGAGGGAGGCAUUUAGGCUACGUGAACUUUCAUUUAACGACUUAAAUAUUUAUCUGUACCUCAAAUUAAACUAUGGAAUGGCUUCAGAACACUUGGAAUAUAGUGCACAGAAACUUUAUGGUGCUUUUUUAAUGUUUUUGUGCCUUUUGUGGAGCUUAACAAUAACAGAAUAGUACACGCACAGUAUCGGAUUUGGAUCGGUGCACUCCGGCCGAUACCCGAUCCGGCAAAAAUGGCAGUAUCGGAGCCGAUACCGAUCUGAAUAUCGGAUCGGUGCAUCCCUAGUUUGCAUGUGUCAUUCAUUACUGUAAAAAAUCUACUUUUUAUUUUUUCAGUAGCAGAAGCAGAGACGGUCUGUGCAACAGCAACAAGGUGCGGGUCCAAACCCAUCUGUCAAGACGCUUGUCCACUUGCUGUCCACCCCACCAGCCCAACGAUUGUCCUGGAGAGCCUCUGACCACAAGUCAUAGAAAAAGAGAAUGUCAUUAUCAACUGGAACAGCUUGAGGGAGUACAGUGGUAGAGACAGAGAAGAAGUGCCCUUGACGAGGAAACCAUGGCAGCCAUAUAUACGUCAAGAAGAGAUUUCCAAAUGUGUCCAAAGAGGCUUUGAGGAUUUGAACUGGGGAAACUGAGACUUCUUGAAAGCAAAAAAGUUAUAUUUGUUUGAAUAUUGUAAUUUUUUUGAACAUUGUAAAGUAUGUUCCUUGCUGAUUAUUAUUCAAAUGUUCACUUGUUAUAGACAACAAAUAAAAGUUUUUCAAAUGUGACAUGUGAAUGUAUUUUCUUGGGUUGAAAUAUAU